UACAGAGGGUGCUAGCGUUGUUCGGAAUUAUUGGGCGUAAAGGGCGCGUAGGCGGCCCUGUGUGUCGGGUGUGAAAGCCCACCUCUUAAAGGUGGAAUUGCAUUCGAAACUACAGGGCUGGAGUGUCAGAGAGGAUGGCGGGAAUUCCUGGUGUAGAGGUGAAAUUCGUAGAUAUCAGGAGGAACACCGGUGGCGAAGGCGGCCAAGUCGUGGACGACAACUGACGCUGAGGCGCGGAAAAGCGUGG
rnacentral:rRNA from 1 species